rnacentral:rRNA from 1 species
CGGAUUCUGGCUCAGGAUGAACGCUAGCUACAGGCUUAACACAUGCAAGUCGAGGGGCAGCAUGAUCGAAGCUUGCUUUGAUUGAUGGCGACCGGCGCACGGGUGAGUAACGCGUAUCCAACCUUCCCUAUAGUAGAGGAUAGCCCGGCGAAAGUCGGAUUAAUACUCUAUGUUUUCCAAUGCAGACAUCUAAAAUGGAACAAAGGUUUACCGCUAUAGGAUGGGGAUGCGUCUGAUUAGAUAGUAGGCGGGGUAACGGCCCACCUAGUCGACGAUCAGUAGGGGUUCUGAGAGGAAGGUCCCCCACAUUGGAACUGAGACACGGUCCAAACUCCUACGGGAGGCAGCAGUGAGGAAUAUUGGUCAAUGGGCGAGAGCCUGAACCAGCCAAGUAGCGUGCAGGAUGACGGCCCUAUGGGUUGUAAACUGCUUUUAUACAGGGAUAAAGUGCGCCACGUGUGGCGUUUUGUAGGUACUGUAUGAAUAAGGACCGGCUAAUUCCGUGCCAGCAGCAGC